rnacentral:rRNA from 1 species
AUUGAACGCUGGCGGCAGGCCUAACACAUGCAAGUCGAACGAGUGGCGGACGGGUGAGUAAUGUCUGGGAAAAUGCACGAUGGAGGGGGAUAACGACUGGAAACGGUAGCUAAUACCGCAUACCAUCGGAUGUGCCCAGAUGGGAUUAGCUGGUAGGUGAGGUAACGGCACACCUAGGCGAAGAUCCCUAGCUGGUCUGAGAGGAUGAUCAGCCACACUGGAACUGAGACACGGUCCAGACUCCCACGGAAGGCAGCAGUGGGGAAUAUUGGACAAGGGGCGAAAGCUUGAUGCAGCCAUGCCGCGUGUAUGAAGAAGGCCUUCGGUUUGUAAAGUACUUUCAGCGGGGAGGCGUUACCCGCAGAAGAAGCACCGGCUAACUCCGUGCCAGCAGCCGCGGUAAUAC